UACGUAGGGGGCGAGCGUUGUCCGAAGUUACUGGGCGUAAAGCGCGCGUAGGCGGUCUUUUAAGUCUGGUGUGAAAGGUUCAGGGCUCAACCCGAACAGUGCACUGGAUACUGGGAGACUUGAGUGCGGGAGAGGAGAGUGGAAUUCCUGGUGUAGCGGUGAAAUGCGUAGAUAUCAGGAGGAACACCGAUGGCGAAGGCAGCUCGCUGGGACGUGACUGGACGCUGAGACGCGAAAGCGUGGGGAGCAAACAGG
rnacentral:rRNA from 1 species